rnacentral:rRNA from 1 species
CCUACGGGAGGCAGCAGUGGGGAAUUUUGCGCAAUGCUCGUAAGAGUGACGCAGCGACGCCGCGUGAAUGACGAAGGCCUUCGGGUCGUAAAGUUCUUUCGACAGGGAAGAAAAUGCCUAUAAGUAACUGUGUAUGUAUUGACGGUACCUGUAUAAGCAGCCCCGGCUAACUCCGUGCCAGCAGCCGCGGUAAUACGGAGGGGGCGAGCGUUGUUCGGAGGGACUGGGCGUAAAGAGCACGUAGGCGGUGUUGUAAGUCAUUAGUCAAAGACUAGAGCUAAACUUUAGUAAGGCUAGUGAUACUAUAAUACUAGAGUAUCAGAGAGGAUUGCAGAAGUCCUGGUGUAGCGGUGAAAUGCGUAGAUAUCAGGAGGAAUACCGUUAGCGAAGGCGGCAAUCUGGCUGGAAACUGACGCUGAGGUGCGAAAGCGUGGGUAGCAAACAGGAUUAGAUACCCGAGUAGUC